CUGUGGACACAUGAUGUCUGCAGCUGUCACAUGUCCUGUUCAGGAGGAUCACACACACAAACAGCAAGAUUUAUUUACAGUUUAAUGGUAGGUUUGUCUUCCUCAGUCAGAUGUGAUGAAAGUAGAUGAAGAUGAUUAUUUACAGUCAAAGCAGAAAAAUAGUUUUAGGGGUUUUCAGGUUGAUUUUUCUG